UCCCGGCCUGGGUGCAGAGCUGUCAGCAAGGCUGGGCCCCUUCUCCAGUGAGGGCGAGCAGAAGACAACUCAGCUCCAGGGUACCUGAGCUCCCUGGCCUCCAGCUCCAAGGAUACUUGGGGAGGGACCCCUCAGGUCUGUGAAUUUGGAAGCCUCCGAAGGAGCUGGAGCCAUGGAUCCCUUCAAUGUGGGAGGUGCUUUCCCCCAAGCACACUGGCUGACAGGGUCACCCUGGCCAGCAGACAGUUGAGGUGGGGGAUGAGGGAGGGAGCUGGCCCAGCAUCAAGGGGGCCUGUGCCCCCCCAGCCCACACCUUGCCCUCUUCCCCACCCCCUCUGCAGAGGGUGCUGGGAGCAGGCGGGACAGGUGCGGCCCACAGACCUGGAGGCCUGAACUCCAGAGAAACAGCUCAAGGGAUUUGGCAAAGCUUGUGUUAUUCCAGCUCCAACCUCUGGUACCAUCUCAUGUGGCAACAGCAGGAAGAGGGGCUAGGAAAGGGGCCCCAGCCUUCCACAGACCUGCGGGAGGUCUGUUUGUUCAGUGCUCUCUGACCCCCCUCCACUUCCCUUGGGGCGCGCUGGCCCGGGUCCUGCACCAGGCCAGCAGCACCCAUAUAAGACACACCUGUGUCUGCCCCAUGGCUUGAAGGACGGGGUUCUCCACACGCCGCAGUCCUGGUAAUGUGAUGUGAAAAAUCACGACACGCAUCCAGUGGGACCCCACAUGAUUCUGAGAGUGCAAGAAAUCUGGAGCAAGAAAUCUGCUCCAGGGCCAUCGCCAGACAUCGCCCGAUGUGGCCCAGGUCAUCUGCUGGGCCUGCUUUGCAGAAACACAACUCGGGUCCCCGGGUCUGGGAGAGGAUGGGGGUACCCAGCCCUGAGGUCUGUGCCAAGGCCCCAGGGCACAGCCAAGAGCUGCAGGCAGCUGUCCCAGGAGGGAGCACAGGGCACUGGUCCAGCAGACAGAGCCACAGCAGGUGUGCACCGACCCCAGGGGCCUGGACGGGAAGACAGCUGCCUGCCCAGGAAGCCAGGCUGCUGCUCCUUCGGGCCCAGCCACAGGAGGUCAGCAGAUCCCAGCCCGAGAAUGGAGAUCACUGGAAACUUCAUCAGAGACUUCCCCGCACCAGGUCGCCGUCAGGGAACUCACGCAGGCCGGGCCUCUGUGCUCCCGGGAAGCUGCCCUUCACCGAACUCCUACAGAGCUCACAGCCCCAGCGCAGCUACUAGGACACGGAUGGUGGCUCUCACAGUACCUGGAACCCAAGCCUCUCCCUGGUGCCCGUCCAGUGAGCCAAGCUGACCACUUCUGGCGGAGGGAGUCCAGGCCCUGCAGGCGGUAGCCUCCCGGUGUCCUCAGAGACCCUGAGGGCAGACACUAGUUCCUGGGCAUCUCAGACUUUGGUCAUCCAGCAAAGCUAAGUUCCUCUGGGAGAAAACACUCUGGAGUCUCCAGCAGGGGAUGCAGCCACCCAGGGAAGCUGAGCUCAGGGGCCUGUGACCUGUGGUGUCCCGGACUCUGCUCCACCCCGGGCCUGGAGACUGCUCGCUGUGAAGUCACUGUUCUGUCAGUUUGGUGGCGGAGACAAAGCUGGAGAACAGUGACCGGUUAAUCGAGAAGUUACAAUCAAUGAGUCCCUCUGAGCUCACGUGGGGCAGACGAGGCUUUUUAAUUAAGAAAGAAACUUAAAGCACAAAGUUAAAGCAAGGGCCGAAGGGCAGUUCCCACCCUUGCGAAUCAGGGCAGCUGAGGAUUAUUGUUUCCUUAAGCUUCUGACUGACAUCUCAGCCAUCAUCCCUUCUGCACUUGGAAAAGCAGGAAAACAAAAGGCCGGAAUACCGGACCCUGACCGGAAGGAGACCAAAGUUUAACUCUUCACUCCCUGGUCUCCCUGCCCAGCCACUUUCCAACCUCCUCAGCCCAGCUCCUUACCCUUACAAAUACUCACGUACAGAGCUGCCGUCUGGACUUCUGAACUGUGUGUGUAGUUUUUGGCUCCCAGCAAGUUAAAAAGAAUUCAUCAAAGUUCCACUAUGUUUAAAGAUGACAUUGCUAUUUUGCCAUCUGGAGAAAAAGUCUCUUAGCUGUCGAAGAGCACUCUGAGAAGCUCACAGGCUGGAGUAUUACACAGUCAGGAAAAAGAUGAAGAUCUGUAGCUGCUCACAGGAGUUUUCCACAAAGUAUGAAUUGUUCAGUGCUCAAAACCAUCGGAGCAUGUCUAGCCUAUGAUUCAGGGUUUGUAACGUCACUGAAAGGAAGUCCACCCUUGACAGGGGACUGAGGUUGAAAAAGGAGAAAAGCCUUUUUCCACCGCCAUGACCCUGUGAUUAUGAGGCAUAGUCAGAAGGGCUGAGGGAACAUAAUGAAUACAUGAACAAGGCCAGCACGCAUGGAAAAGUAAAAGUUAAAAACUUGCACCGCAGGCACGGGGCGUGAGCCCAGUGGUCGGCCUAGGGCGGUGGGAUGCCAGCUGACUACCCUCUGCCUGCGAGGGCAGAGCUCGGACCUGAGGGAAAGGGAGGCCGGGGGGGGAGGUCCCUGCGCGCCCCCCAACAAGGCCUACACCCACUGCCCCAGUGGACUCCAUCUCAGUGCCCUCCUGGCAGAGGGCGUGGAGAGGACCCGCAAGCUGCUCCAGGUUGCACAGCUCUCCCGGGGCCACAGGGAAGCACCACAGCUCAGGCAGAAGUUGGGCUCCACCCUCGGUGUCCUCUCCCUGCUGCCCCACCAGAAGCCUUGGUCAGUCCUCCCGCCUGCGUGCCUGGGUUUCUAGCUGCGCUGUCGGCAGCAGCUCCAGAGAGAAAGGCUGCUUGGACGGGACUCUGCCUGCCGCAUGCAGAAAAACGAGAGAGGACCGAGCGCCUUCUGCCUAGAGAGGCUCUGGUACAUGCGAGUGGCAAUAUUUGACCGCACUGAAGAGAAUGGCACUGCCAAGCUGAGAAAAGAUGAGGAAGCAACCUAAAUGCGUGGGACUGACAGAAGCCAGUCUGAAAAGCCUGACUCAGGCACAGUGGUAUCCCACCUCAGAUUGUGGAUUUAAUUUGCUUUAUGAUUUGGGAGAAGACGGCUGUCUGCAUGUUUGUGGGGGAAGAUGGUCACGGUUGUUUGUCCACCAGUGUGGAGUUUGUGAUCGGAUGCAAAAUUCUGCCAAAUGCCUUUUUUUUUUUGGUGAACUGAAUAGUUUGCACACAGAAGCUUUUGUGAAUGGCAGUAUGACCGUAUAUGACAUUCCAGAAAAGCAACACCAUGGAGAUAGUAGAACAUCUGUAGUUGCCAGGGGUUGAGGAAAAGAGGAAUAAAUAGUUGGAGCAUAGGUUUUAGGACACUAAGAUCCUUUUGUAAAAGACGAAAUGCUACAACCCCAUCAGUAAAUGAACAGUAAACUGAAUAUGCUCUUUCUA